UAGGGAAUAUUGGACAAUGGGUGAGAGCCUGAUCCAGCCAUGCCGCGUGCAGGAAGAAGGCGUUAUGCGUUGUAAACUGCUUUUGCCAGGGGAUAAAAAGACCGUGCGCGGUUAAUUGAAGGUACCUGGUGAAUAAGCCACGGCUAACUACGUGCCAGCAGCCGCGGUAAUACGUAGGUGGCAAGCGUUGUCCGGAUUUAUUGGGUUUAAAGGGUGCGUAGGUGGCCCUGUAAGUCAGUGGUGAAAUAUCUCAGCUUAACUGAGAGGGUGCCAUUGAUACUGCAGGGCUUGAGUACAGAUGAGGUAGGCGGAAUUGACGGUGUAGCGGUGAAAUGCAUAGAUAUCGUCAAGAACACCGAUGGCGAAGGCAGUCCCCUGGGCCUGUACUGACGCUCAUGCACGAAAGCGUGGGGAGCAAACAGGAUUAGAUACCCCCGUAGUCCCUGAGCGGGCUGGCAAGGCGCAU
rnacentral:rRNA from 1 species